rnacentral:rRNA from 1 species
GUAGGGAAUCUUCGGCAAUGGACGAAAGUCUGACCGAGCAACGCCGCGUGAGUGAAGAAGGUUUUCGGAUCGUAAAACUCUGUUGGUAGAGAAGAACGUUGGUGAGAGUGGAAAGCUCAUCAAGUGACGGUAACUACCCAGAAAGGGACGGCUAACUACGUGCCAGCAGCCGCGGUAAUACGUAGGUCCCGAGCGUUGUCCGGAUUUAUUGGGCGUAAAGCGAGCGCAGGUGGUUUAUUAAGUCUGGUGUAAAAGGCAGUGGCUCAACCAUUGUAUGCAUUAGAAACCCCAGUAGUCC